AGUGCAGACAAACAUUUGGCCUGAGCUUCCAACAGCUGCUUCGUCCAUAGCGCUUUGUUGAUUGUUUUUCCUGAACAUUAGCAUGGACUGGUUUGUGUUGGUAUCAAUGUUUCAGGAAUGGCUGUAUUUUGAUGAAUACCCAUUGUGAUGGGGCAUCUGCCCCUCACGGGCAAAACAGGGGUUAAAAGCAACCCUAAGGAGGCUGUGCCAGAAGCAGCCAAUUAGAAAGGGACUGAGAGGAGUAGCCAAUCAUGGCCAGCAGGCUCAUAUUAGAAGGGCUGCAGGGCAGAGAAGAGUUCAGUAGCUGACUGGAGUUCCAGGGGAGAAGACCAGGCUCCUAGCAGGAGGAAGGUGCGCCAGCACCUGGGAUAGAGCAAUGCUGCAAGCAGGGACUGGAGGAGCUAGAGAAAGCUUCUGGUUGGCUGCUAGGGACUGAGGUAAGGGCAGAAGAGGGUGCUGGAACCGCAUGGGAAGCUGCCCUGGGACAAUGGACUGCAGUUACCACUGAGGGAAGUGGUUGGACAGAGAUUGCAGGUCUCCCAGAAGGGGGAAACGCAGAGUGUGGCACAGCCAGAGGGUAGUGUCACUGAAGAGGACGCUGCAGUCCUGGGAGUGGCACGGAUCCUGGAACAAAAGUGAUGGUGGCGAGGUACUGCCAGAGGAGGGUGCACAGAGCUAAUCCCCAGGACAGCCAGCAGGAGGCGCCGUAGUGAUUGGCCUGGUUGAAGGAAAACUGGCUCCCCAUGAGAAGCCAAUUGAGUAAAUCACUCCUGUGGCAAGACUCUGGAUUGAGUGUGACACCACUUGGGAGGUUCUGUUCAACAGUGGGGAAAGCGGGAGCCACCAGGGGCCAGAGGGAUGGAGACAAGUUCGGCAACACCAGGGCUCCUGCUCCCACUGCCUUCCCAAGGGGCAAGAUAGCCCCCAGCAGCAGCAGCACCACCAGAUGUCGUUACGAUAUGUAGUUUCAAGCGGUGAGACGUGCUUCUGCCUUGAAUUUUCAAGGCUCUAGGUUGAGCCCAGAUGAUCAACGUUUUCCUUUAAGAAAGAAACUGGGGUGCAAAGGGGGAAGUUCUGGCCCAGUUGAUAUCAAAAGUUCAAGGAAUCUUUGGGAGGAAAUGUCUCAUGACAUUUAUAGCCCAAUGUCUGAACUAAAAGGGCUCAUGUAACUUUAAGAAACUUAUACAAACUGUGCUGAGUUGUCUUUGUCCCCCUCUAGUGGUUGAUGCACAUAACAUGUUAAAGUCUUCUACUACCCAUAGUUAGUAGACUUAAUCCUCUAUCUCAGGGGUUCUCACUCAGGGGUAUGUGUAUUCCUGGGGGUACACAGAGGUCUUCCAGGGAGUACAUCAACUCAUCUAAAUAUUUGCCUAGUUUUACAACAGGCUACAUAAAAAACACUAGCAAAGUCAGU